ACCGCCCUUAAUCCAUUUAACCCUGAGUUUGACACAGCACAUGUUUCAGAGAGCACGGGGUUGGGGGUAAGGUCACAGAAUCUCAAGGCAGAAGAAUUUUUCUUAGUACAUAACAAAAUGGAGUCUCCCAUGUCUACUUCUUUCUACACAGACACAGUGACAAUCUGAUCUCUCUUGCUUUUCCCCACAGGAAGCAUACAUCACAAUGAAACAUCUAUUCAAGGAGAGCUCCUAUAACUCCGGCUCAUAACAUAUAGAAACGUGAUAUACUUAAGAACAGGACAAGAGAGGACAGUAGGAGCGAAGCUGCAUUGGAAUAAAGAAAUGACAGCAGAUGUUAACUUGAACCCCCAGGAAUACAUUAAGAGAACCUGAAACUAUAGUCCACGCUUUUGGACUUACAGAUAGUGUAUUGGACUUUUCUGGCCUCACAGAGUGGUGAGUUUUCAGUCCUCAUGGAACUGGCAUCCAUUAGGACAAAUUUUGCUAUGGGUCAGUCACCAAUAAAACCAGAUGAGCGUCUUCUUCCAUUUAAAUUUUUGUCCUCAGAGCCCAGGCUUCAUCCAUAGAACAUUUUUUUUUUCUAAUGUUCUUCCUGCUGGAUAGUGAAGAUUACUGGGUCUACAUUUGGAGAGGGUCAGCUUUCAGGUUGGAGGCACCAGACAUGAGGUGCACAGGCAUUACCUUCUUACAGACUGUCACCAGUCUCAUGAAGUCAUCUUGUUACUGCAGCUUGGACCCUGAUUUCUUGGCUCGUGUGUAAAUAGAAAUUAACACUGGACCAAACAGAAAUUUUUAUCAGGCAACAUUUAAUAGGCUUGCAGCCUGAGCAAGUCAAGGGAGCAACAUACAGGAAAGGGAUCCCCGCUGCUAGCUCUCCAAAGGGCUUAGCUCUUGUCAUUUAAGGAAGUUGAGGAGAAAAAUAACUGAUAUGUAGGCAUGUAGAGGUGGGGAGUUUUUAGCACCAAAGAUGACUCGGUCCUUCAGAAGUCACUCUGAGGAACAUUUGUCUUGAAUAAAACUUCAUUUUAGAGGCACCUUCAAAAAGAAAGAGUAUAAAAUUUCUCUGGCCCAGUGGGUAGCACUUUUGGUUGAUAUGCAGAAGUCUCCAAAUGCAAUUCUGAAUAAAAAACUGCUUCACUAACAAAUUCAUUGGUCAAAGCCAAUGAGCAAUUUGAAAAAAUUAAGUAGUAACAAAUGACUAAUUUUAUUAGUAAAUCCUGCUCUUCUUUGCCUACAUCUACCUCCCCAUAUUCAGCUUUCUCUAUUCCCCCUUAUAUUUCUGAUUUCCCUGCUUCAACACCUCAUACUCCUUCCUCCUCUUACUCAGACCUCUAGCUUUUCCCAACUCUCCUGAAACCCCCAAAUGCCAAGGACCUCUGAUACAGGUCACAUUUGACAGUUUACUUUAAAAGUAAACGGGCUUCCAAAGGUACCCAUGUUGGGGAGGUCUUGUAAUUCAUGGCAACAUCCUGUCCCUGAGUAAAAAAUACUAACAUGAAGAGUCCUCUUCCCUUCUUCUAAACUUUCCUAUAUGUUCCUAUAAAAGCCUUCCAACUUGUAGCAGAUUCUGGAAAACUCCCAACUGUGUUGGUAUGUCUUCCAGGAUUUAUCCUCAUAUUUGUCUUCCAAUAUACUUUUAUCAAAUUUUUUGUCUCAGCCUUAUUUUGGUGGAUACUUCUAAAAAUUCUUUCUCAUGAUCCAGGUACGAAGGGAACUAUAAAGUUUAAACUUUGUACUGAAUUAAGCUGAAUUAAGAACUCUAAUAAAAGAUUUCCCUAAACUCAAAUAAGGUUGGCAAAUAUUCAUAGAAUUUAGAAUUCUUUUGGAUGAACAUGACCCAGGGUUACCUGAUUGUUAUAGAUGGAAUGUUUUUGCUUUGUUCCCCCAAACUCAACUGUUGAAGCCCUAACUUCCAGUGUGACAGUAUUUGGAGAUGGGCUCUUUGGGAUGUAAUUAGGGUUAAAUUAGCUCAUGAGGGUGAGGACAUCCAGAUGGAAUUAAUGACCUUAUUAGAAGAAGAAGAGAUCUUUCUCUUCUUGUCUGUGAAAAAGCAGAGAGGAAAGGCCAGAUGAGGACACAGUAAGUAGGCAGCCAUCUGCAGCCCAAGGAGAGAACACUUCCCACCCUCUAGAACUGUGAGAAAAUAAAUUUCUGUUGUUUAAGCCACCCAGUAUAUGGGUUUUUUUUUUCGGACAGCCCUAGUGUUGCAGGACUUUUCCUUAGUUCAGCUAAAGACGGGGUUCUUGUCCACCCCACGGACAUGAAAAUUUAGGCUUCCAGGAGGUUUAAAGGGUGAGUGAAGCAGGGUUUUAUUGGGUGAAAAGGGAAAAAAGAGGGGAAAUAGGGACUCUCGCAAAGCCAGAGUCCCUCUGCUAGAGGGCUUUCCGCCAGGCACUUGAAUCUGAGGUUCCACCCAGGAAGAGGAGGGGCCAGGCUCGGGCUCCUCCCUGCUGCAAAAGUCCUGAAUUUCCCCAGGCUCCACCUCAGCUUGUUGGAGCCUGGCUUGUUGGAGUUUCUCCAGGACCCCCUCCCACCUGGCUGUCUCACUAGCAGUCUAACACACUGACCUAUGUGUGACCUAUAUCAACUUGUAGUCAUGUUGGUUAAAAUCUGAAAUGCUAAAUCCUGGAUGACAAAAGCUGGUUAUGCUUUCCUGGAAAGGGAGCUACAGAAUCCUUCUUUCCACAGUAAAUCUGAGGGUCAAAAAAAAAUUUUUUUUUAAAGGCUGUAAGAGUAGGUUGAAGUCUCCUAAAAGCCAGACCUGAAACAUUUCCAACAAAAAUUAAUUGGGCCGUAAUUCAGUCAUUCAAACUGAUGAAACUAUAGGAGAUUUUCAGAAUAGACUAGAAAAUACCUUCCAACAUUUGUAAGCUAAGGAAGAUGUCCAUGUAAUAGCUACUCUUUCAUCUCAUUUCGCCAAUGGAGUUAAGCCUGAAAUUGGAGACCACAUUUGAAAACCAAUUAGAAUGGAAAUAGCCCCUUUAUCUGCAGUACAAUACCUGGCACAGCAUUUUGAAAGGGCUUUAGAACAAAAAUGAAGCAGGUUCCAAAAUAAACUUGUAGCACUACUAAUCCAACAGCUAGGUUACCCAUUUUAUAACAAGUGACUUGUUGACAAGGACAUGUUUGGAUAUUGUUAAUAGGACAUAGGAAAGAAGAUUGUCCCAUCUUACAAGAGAAAAACAAAGAUGGAAAAAUUCCUAAUUCAGAUCAAUCGAUGUUCUCACAAAAACCAGAAAAGGAAAAACCAUCCAAUAUUCUGCCUUAUGCUAAACAUUCACAGUAAAUACAAUACUAAUAUAGAUGGUCAACUUCAUCAAUUCCUGGUAAAUAAGGUUGCUACUCUUUCUACAUUAAACCCUGCCAUCUUUGCUCAACCUUUUCUUUGGAGUAAGCGUAUUACACAGGUGGUAUUUCCAAUACUCCACAGAUUUUCCCUGUAUCUCAGCCCUUAACUGUAACUAUUGGGGUUUGACUGCAUAAACAUUCCUUCCUACCUUGUGAUACCACCCCUGCAUGUUUAAUAGGAAGAAAUUUACUUUGCAAAUGGAACUACAAUAUUAAAUGCACUUCAAAGGGACUAUUUUUUAAGGUUGCAGAGAACACUUCUAUUCAUAAUCAAGUUGUGUCUGCUCAAGAUGCAAUUUUGCCUUCUCCAUUAUAUUUGAUACAUAUUCCAGAUAAGGAUCUUGACCUUAUAUCUGGCUGGAUCUUUGUGUUUUUAUUUCACCCCUAUAAUGUCCUGGAGCUUUCCAAGUUACCUUCUGAGAACAGACAAUUAGAAGGAAAGAUAACAAGAAACUUCUGCAAUAGACUAGACAAACUAAAUCUGAAAGUCCUGAGUGCAAAGCAGUGGAUUAAAACUAUAAAGAAUUUUCUGGGAGCUGUGCUAGUAGUUGCAUUAACAUCUUCAAAUUUUAUUUUUGGAAGAAAUCUUAGAUACCAUUUGUUGUUGUUUUUAAAAGUCCAUCAUAUCAUGUGAAAUAUAAUCUCACUUACUUCAGGUUUGGGUGACAUUUUGAAAAGCCAAGAAUGAGGAGGAAUCAUAUUGUUUUUAAGUCUAACUUCCUCAAAUAUUUGACAUACUCAUAUUGGAACAGGUUAGUCACUUAGAGAUGCAGCAAGUGAAGGAAAGGACAUGUCUUAUAUACUGAUGAGUACCUAGCACCAAAUUAAGGAUGUAGCCUUCCAUAUGUAUUUUGAUUAAAAGAAUGAAACUGGGAGUGGAGCAUGAAGGUCAGAGAUGAUGUUCUUAUUAAAGGCUUUUGAGAUGUAUUAAUAAAUUUGCCUCCAUCCCUUCACCACCCCCCGAAACAGGUGGAAUAAGGCUUUUUAAUAUUAACUAAAUUGAGAGGUGGAAAAUGGCAUGCUAUUUUCAUAAGUUUUUAAAUAUUACUGAGAUGAAUUAUAUUUUCAUGUAGUAAUUUUUAAAUCAUACUUUCACCUUAUAAUACAUAAGUUUCAUUGCAGCAUUGAACCCUGGGUUAGUGUUAUAAUAAAAAGUAUAUUGCAUUCAGGCUGGGUGCAGUGGCUCACGCCUAUAAUCCCAGUGCUUUGGGAGGCUGAGGCAGGCAGAUCACUUGAGGUCAGGAGUUCCAGACCAGGCUGGCCAACAUGGCGAAACCCGUCUGUACUAAAAAUACAAAAAUUAUCUGGGCAUGGUGAUGUGUGCCUAUCAUCCCAGCCACUUGGGAGGUGGAGGCAGGAGAAUUGCUUCAACCCGGGAGGCAGAAAUUGCAGUGAGCUGAGAUUGCGUCACUACACUCCAGCCUGGGUGACAGAGUGAGACUCUGCCUAAAAAAAAAAAAAUAUAUAUAUAUAUAUUAUAUAUAUAUAUAUUACAUUUAGUGCCUAUUAUACAGUAGAUAUUGUGUUAAAUUCUUUAUAGGUAUUAUUUAUGAAAUUUAAUUUAUUCCUCAGUACAAGCUUGUUGAUGUAAGUUAUCAUCCUCAUUUUACAGCAAAUAUACUACUAAGACUUUUUUUUUAAAGUCUUCCAACAGUUUAUUAGAAAGAAUGUAGGCAUUUAAAAAAAUCCCCACUGUCAUGAACAUAAAUUGAGGUUUUCAGCCCUGGUAUAAGCUGAAUCAAAAAAAGAAAAAAUCCGGCCGGGCGCGGUGGCUCAUGCCUGUAAUCCC
rnacentral:lncRNA from 10 species